GUGCCAGCGCGCGGUAAUACCGGCAGCCCAAGUGAUGGCCGAUCUUAUUGGGCCUAAAGCGUCCGUAGCUGGCUGCGCAAGUCCGUCGGGAAAUCCACUAGCCCAACGAGUGGGCGUCCGACGGAAACUGCACAGCUUGGGACCGGAAGGCUCGAAGGGUACGUUCGGGGUAGGAGUGAAAUCCCAUAAUCCCGCACGGACCACCGAUGGCGAAAGCACUUCGAGAAAACGGAUCCGACAGUGAGGGACGAAAGCCAGGGUCUCCAACCGGAUUAGAAACCCGGGUAGGUAGUCC
rnacentral:rRNA from 1 species